rnacentral:misc_RNA from 1 species
GAUGAAGAACGUAGCGAAAUGCGAUAAGUAAUGCGAAUUGCAGAAUUCAGUGAGUCAUCGAAUCUUUGAACGCACAUUGCGCCCUGUGGUAUUCCGCAGGGCAUGCCUGUUCGAGCGUCAUUUCAACCCUCAAGCUCUGCUUGGUGUUGGGCCCUGCCCGCUGCGGCCGGCCCCAAAGACAGUGGCGGUGCCGCCUGGCCCUGAGCGUAGUACAUCUCUCGCUCCAGUGCCCGGUGGUAGCCUGCCAGAACCCCAACUCUCGUGGUUGACCUCGGAUCAGGUAGGGAUACCCGCUGAACUUAAGCAUAUCAAUAAGCGGAGGA